AUUGAACGCUGGCGGCAGGCCUAACACAUGCAAGUCGAGCGGAUGAGGGGAGCUUGCUCCCUGAUUUAGCGGCGGACGGGUGAGUAAUGCCUAGGAAUCUGCCUGGUAGUGGGGAUAACGUUCCGAAAGGAACGCUAAUACCGCAUACGUCCUACGGGAGAAAGCAGGGGACCUUCGGGCCUUGCGCUAUCAGAUGAGCCUAGGUCGGAUUAGCUAGUUGGUGAGGUAAUGGCUCACCAAGGCGACGAUCCGUAACUGGUCUGAGAGGAUGAUCAGUCACACUGGAACUGAGACACGGUCCAGACUCCUACGGGAGGCAGCAGUGGGGAAUAUUGGACAAUGGGCGAAAGCCUGAUCCAGCCAUGCCGCGUGUGUGAAGAAGGUCUUCGGAUUGUAAAGCACUUUAAGUUGGGAGGAAGGGCUGCUGGUUAAUACCCUGCAGUUUUGACGUUACCAACAGAAUAAGCACCGGCUAACUUCGUG
rnacentral:rRNA from 1 species